rnacentral:rRNA from 1 species
GAUGAACGCUGGCGGCGUGCUUAACACAUGCAAGUCGAACGAUGAAGCCCAGCUUGCUGGGUGGGUUAGUGUAGAACGGGUGAGUAACACGUGAGAAACCUGCCCUUAACUCUGGGAUAAGCCUUGGAAACUGGGACUAUUACCGGAUAGGAGCGUACACCGCAUGGUGGGUGUUGGGAAGAUUUAUGGGUUUUGGACGGACUCGCGCCUAUCAGCUUGUUGGUGAGGUAAUGGCGCACCAAGGCGACGACGGGUAGCCGGCCUGAGAGGGUGACCGGCCACACUGGGACUGAGACACGGCCCAGUCUCCUACGGGAGGCAGCAGUGGGGAAUAUUGCACAAUGGGCGCAAGCCUGAUGCAGCAACGCCGCUUGGUGGAUGACGGCCUUCGGGUUAUAAAACUCUUUCUUUAGGGAAGAAGCGAAAGAGACGGUAACUAAAAGAGAAGCACCGGCUAACUACGUG